GGCUGCCUGCUGCGGGGGGUAGCCAGGGCUCGCCGGGUCCUGACGGGCGGCUGGGCCCCGCAGGUCCCGGUUCCCGGGGCGGCCCCCA
rnacentral:tRNA from 1 species